rnacentral:lncRNA from 1 species
GAAAUUGCAUAAUGUUAUGUUCAAUCAACACAUCCAAGAAAAAAUUUCCUAUAUCUUUCUGUGUACAGUCCAUUAGGGUGCAAUGACAAAGCUCAAUGAAUCGUUAAAAUUGACAAUGUAAACCAACUUUUCAACGAUUAUAUAUGUUACACAGAUCGAUUUGUACACAUUCUUCGAACUAGUUAUCGUGCCACUGAAAAUAAGAAUGGUGGAACCCCUUAAUAACCUUGGAAAAUUGGUGGCGGUGGUGAUGCGUAUAGCGAGCCCAAUGAUGGAGGAAGAGCAACAUCCUCAAAAGUGGGUGGAGGUGGAGGUAAGGCUACAGGUGGGGGUGGUGAGUGGAUAAGUGGCGGUGGAGGUGACGCUACCGGAGGCGGUGGUGAGUGAACGGGAGGUGGAGGUGACGCUACCGGAGGCGGUGGUGAGUGAACGGGAGGUGGAGGUGGAGGUGAGGCCACUGGUGGCGGUGGUGAGUGAACGGGAGGUGGAGGUGAAGCCAUUGUUGGUGGUGGUGGUGAGUGGACGGGAGGUGGAGGUGACGCCACUGGAGGCGGUGGUGAGUGGACGGGAGGUGGAGGUGAGGCCACUGGUGGUGGUGGAGAUCGAGCUGGAGGUGGUGGUGAAGCCACUGGGGAUGGAGGUGAAGCCAGUGGUGGUGGUGGUGAGUGGACUGGAGGUGGAGGUGAUGCCACCGGUGGUGGUGGAGAUUGGACUAGAGGUGGUGGCGGUGAUGGUGGUGGUAAAGUAUUUGGUGGUGGGGGAGGUGAGGCAACUGGAGGUGGGGAUGGGGGUAAAUAAUUUGGUGGUGGGGGAGGUGAGGCAACUGGCGGUGGUGGAGAUGUGACCGGGGGUGGAAUGGUGGUUUUUGGUGGAGGUGAUUUGGGAGUCGGUGGUGGCGAUAGGGUUGGAGUAGAUACAUGAGGUGGCUUUGGUUUUGGACUCGUAGGUUUUGGUGGAGACUUUUUGGGGGUUGAAGGGGUGUUUUCUUUAGGUGGAUCCUUUGGACUCUGCCCUUGUGGAGAAAAUCCACAAUG